GAGCAUGUGACUUCUGAAACCACAGGUUUCAAAGUCUAGAAAGUCAGAUUGUAGCUGUGUACGUAGCCAAUUACCCUGUGUGUUUCAAUUUUCAGUUCCUCUCUGCUGUUUAAUCACUUGCAAUCAUGGUGACAGUGUUUAAGAAGACGAGCUGUGUGAUACAGAGGCACAGAAGACUUCCUUAGUCCUCUGAGUGGGUAAAGUAUUGACCACUGAAGAAGACGUCUGUGGGAAAACAAUCUUGGGUUUUUUGGAAAAGUCAUUAUAGUGUCUUUUCUGUAUCACUUUAUUCCAUAAUUCUGAUUGUGCUCAAAGAAAUAAUGGAGAUUGAAUUUAAAUGUCCUCAGAUGGCAUUUUUAAGGCAUCUGUACAUUUUUUGCUACUUUUUCUGUCCAGCGUUCAUUAUACUUUUCCUGAACUCCAGUCCUUCCAUGGCCUGCUGUUGCUACGCUGGGAAAUGCUUGUGCUGCCGGACAAUUAAGACAAUGUUUAGGAUACUUCUGCCUCCUCUGAUCUGGUGGGUGAUCCUGCUGUGCGAUGGCAGAUACAUAGACUGUUCUUUUUCAGGAAGCGAAGGAAACAAAGAUCAAAAUGCAAACCAAAGCAGUGCAGCAGAAUUACCCAGUGAACCCUACACAAUAUCUCAGAUUGCAGGGAUGGUUGUUCUUUCUCUUGUCAGCUUGCUUUAUGGCGUGUACCACAUGUGCCACUUCUGGUUCUGCUGUAGCAGUGCAGAAGAACAUUGGAAAGAGGACGUGGAGAGUUUAUUAGAGAAAGAAGUAAGGAAACGUAUUGAAGAAAAGAAGAAAGAGGUUGCAGAGCAGAUAAUGGAACAGAAAGUUAAACCUUUUGUCCAGAAAGUUAAUUCUAAUUUCUGGGAAAAUGUAGGUUUCAGAGGCACAGCGAAAAACACAAAGGAAGCUGUUGUGUCUUUCAUUAAAAAUAGAGGGGGGAAACAAUAAGCAGUUAAACAAAGUUGCCUCUCACCUCUGCAACAGAACUGACUUCAGAAACCAGCACUGAGUUCUGAAGAGGUGGCAGCUACUCCUGCCGAAGGGGCCAGAGCAGGUGCCGAUGCAGCAACACCAGGAUGCUGAAUCUGUCCGUCCUGGGCUUGCUGGGGAAAGCACCCACCUUGUUCCCAUCUCAGUCCUCCUGUCCAUGGGAGCAGGUCUGGCAGUUACGGUGUAGUCAGAAGUUGGAUUUAUUGUCCUGUUCUAUAGCUACAGUCAUCGAGCCAACAGGUACCAUCAGAUGGCACUGGUCACCUUAUUAUCCCUCUUCCUAUAUCUUUGCCUUCAUUUUGUUGCUCUUUCACCUCUCCUUUUUCACCCCAGUAUCAGUUUCUGGUCCUAGUUUUGCUAUAUCUGUACCCCAAAGUGGUAGUUCUAAUCCCAUUACCUAGACAAUCUCGGCCACUCAGGCUUUGUCUUUGCAUAAAGUGAGGAAGAAAUAAGCAAAGAAGGAGGAAACAUCUCCAAGCCUUAGAGGGCAGAAGAAACGUGAGUUGGUCCUUCCUGAACAUUGUGCUGGUUUUCCCUGUUCCUGCUUGCAAGGAAUCAAUUAGUCCUUAAUUGCAAUAAACCUUUUUAAGCACAAUUCA
rnacentral:lncRNA from 1 species